CAGCAACCUGAUGAAAAAAGCCAACAGUUAAUGCUACUCACCAUGUACUCGAGCAGGACAUUUCAGCAGCGCUCGUGAGCAGGAAAGUCAUCGUCAAAAGGAUCACAGAAAAGCAAACGUUCUGCUAGCACCAUAAGUCUUUGACACACUGAAAGAAUUGCCCGCUGACCAAUAUAAGGCUCGCUCCCAAGUUUGCGGAUCAAAUGCUGAACACAAAAUUGAGCAUUGGUGCCGGUGUAUUGAGACCCUAGAAGAUACGUAUUUAAAAGGAACGGCAAAAAAAAAAAGAGACAGAAGUCAACGAUUAGAAUGAUCCACAAAUAAAAGAUCACAAUGGCGACAAUUUUACAGUAGUUUACCGUCUUACACAUUGACCUUAAAAAGUAAUCUACGAUUAUUCGCACAAUCUUAAACUAUGCAUACCAUUUUCCAACAAGGACGUGCACAUCUGCCUAAUCAAACGUGUAACUAGGCUGUUGACAAUUCCUUCAACAAGUUCGUGGUUCCUUCCCGUAGAUAAAA